UAAGAGCCUGCCGUGAACAGUAUUUAUCUUUCCGGCUUGGUUUUGUUUUUGUUUACAAAUUGAAGAAUCGUCAAGAGAGCGCAUUUAUUUAUUUUAAAAAUAUGCGAGCUGUAAUUCAAAGAUGCACUAAAGCCAGUGUUUUGGUUGAUAAUGAAGUUAUUAGUAGUAUUGGUCGAGGAAUUUGUGUUUUAGUCGGAAUUUCUAAAGAUGACACAAAAAAGGAUAUAGAUUUUAUGGUACGGAAAUUAGUGAACAUCCGACUUUUCGAGGAUGAAAGUGGAAAGAGAUGGAGUCACAGUGUUAAAGACAAAGGAUAUGAAAUCUUAUUAGUCAGUCAAUUUACUCUUCUUGGAACUCUGAAAGGAAACAAACCUGAUUUUCGGUUAGCUAUGCAACCAGAAACAUCCGCAAAAAUGUAUAUGGAAUUAGUGAGUGCUGUUAAGAGAGCCUAUUCAGAGGAACUUGUGAAAGAUGGUAAAUUUGGAGCAUACAUGCAAGUUUGUGUCCAGAAUGAUGGCCCGGUGACUAUAGAAUUAGAAUCUCCCUUGCAAUCUACGCCCAUCCAUUUGGGCCGGGUAUUCACAAGCACUUGAUUCCUUUACUUGCCCCAACUCUCUUAGUGAAACCUUCCAAAAGUACACCAAGACUCCUUCUACAACACCCCAAGUGUUCCAAGUCAAAAGAAGCUCAAACACCAGAACAAGAGACUGAGGCAUUGUGAAAUUAUUUUUAUUUGUAUUAAUUUUAUUAAUAAAUUAUUUUUUGUUGCAUGGA